rnacentral:rRNA from 1 species
UACGUAGGGUGCGAGCGUUGCCCGGAUUUAUUGGGCGUAAAGGGCGCGUAGGCGGCUCGGCACGUCCGUUGUGAAAUCGCCCGGCUCAACUGGGCGGGGUCGGCGGAUACGGCCGAGCUGGAGCAAGCUAGGGGGUAAUGGAAUUCCCGGUGUAGUGGUGGAAUGCGUAGAUAUCGGGAGGAACACCAGUGGCGAAAGGCGGUUACCUGGACG